rnacentral:rRNA from 1 species
GAUGAACGCUAGCUACAGGCUUAACACAUGCAAGUCGAGGGGCAGCAUUGGAGUAGCAAUACUUCAGAUGGCGACCGGCGCACGGGUGAGUAACACGUAUCCAACCUGCCGCUUACUCGGGGAUAGCCUUUCGAAAGAAAGAUUAAUACCCGAUGGUAUAAAGAGUUCGCAUGUUCUCUUUAUUAAAGAAUUUCGGUAAGCGAUGGGGAUGCGUUCCAUUAGAUAGUUGGCGGGGUAACGGCCCACCAAGUCUACGAUGGAUAGGGGUUCUGAGAGGAAGGUCCCCCACAUUGGAACUGAGACACGGUCCAAACUCCUACGGGAGGCAGCAGUGAGGAAUAUUGGUCAAUGGGCGAGAGCCUGAACCAGCCAAGUAGCGUGAGGGAUGACUGCCCUAUGGGUUGUAAACUUCUUUUAUAAGGGAAUAAAGUGAGGGACGUGUCCCUUUUUGUAUGUACCUUAUGAAUAAGGAUCGGCUAACUCCGUG